CCUACGGGAGGCAGCAGUGGGGAAUAUUGGACAAUGGGGGAAACCCUGAUCCAGCGACGCCGCGUGAGUGAAGAAGUAUUUCGGUACGUAAAGCUCUAUCAGCAGGGAAGAAAAUGACGGUACCUGACUAAGAAGCCCCGGCUAACUACGUGCCAGCAGCCGCGGUAAUACGUAGGGGGCAAGCGUUAUCCGGAUUUACUGGGUGUAAAGGGAGCGUAGACGGCAGCACAAGUCUGGAGUGAAAUCCCGGGGCUGAACCCCGGAACUGCUUUGGAAACUGUGCGGCUGGAGUGCAGGAGGGGUAAGCGGAAUGCCUAGUGGAGCGGUGAAAUGCGUAGAUAUUAGGAGGAACACCGGUGGCGAAGGCGGCUUACUGGACUGUAACUGACGUUGAGGCGCGAAAGCGUGGGGAGCAAACAGGAUUAGAUACCCGAGUAGUC
rnacentral:rRNA from 1 species